UUUAUUAAAAACAUGGCCUAUAGAUUAUAAUUUUAGGUCUAACCUGCCCAAUGAAAGUUUCAAUGGCUGCAGUAUUUUAACUGUACAAAGGUAGCAUAAUCAUUUGUUUUUUAAUUGAAAGCUUGUAUGAAAGGUUGGAUGAGGGAAUUUCUGUCUCUAGAAAAAUUAAUUAGAAUUUUAUUUUUAAGUUAAAAAGCUUAAAUAAUAAUAGAAGACGAGAAGACCCUAUAGAGUUUUAUAUUUGUAGAAAUAUUUUGAAUUAAAGGAAUAGAAGUUUUUUAUUUUUAUAAGUAUUUUGUUGGGGUGAUGAAAAAAUUUAAUUAACUUUUUUUUUAUUAAAUCAUUGAUUUGUGUAUGUAUGAUCCUUUUUUGGAAAGAUUAUAAGAUAAAAUUACCUUAGGGAUAACAGCGUAAUUUUUUCUAGAGUUCUUAUCGAAGAAAAAGGUUGCGACCUCGAUGUUGGAUUAAAAUUAAUAACUGGUGAAGGUGCUAGUGAAUUAGGUCUGUUCGACCUUUAAAAUUUUACAUGAUCUGAGUUUAAACCGGUGUGAGCC
rnacentral:rRNA from 1 species